rnacentral:rRNA from 1 species
AUUGAACGCUGGCGGCAUGCUUUACACAUGCAAGUCGAACGGUAACAGGCCGCAAGGUGCUGACGAGUGGCGAACGGGUGAGUAAUGCAUCGGAACGUGCCCAGUCGUGGGGGAUAACGCAGCGAAAGCUGUGCUAAUACCGCAUACGAUCUAUGGAUGAAAGCGGGGGACCGUAAGGCCUCGCGCGAUUGGAGCGGCCGAUGUCAGAUUAGGUAGUUGGUGGGGUAAAGGCUCACCAAGCCGACGAUCUGUAGCUGGUCUGAGAGGACGACCGGCAACACUGGGACUGAGACACGGCCCAGACUCCUACGGGAGGCAGCAGUGGGGAAUUUUGGACAAGGGGCGCAAGCCUGAUCCAGCAAUGCCGCGUGCAGGAAGAAGGCCUUCGGGUUGUAAACUGCUUUUGUACGGAACGAAACGGUCCUGGUUAAUACCUGGGGCUAAUGACGGUACCGUAAGAAUAAGCACCGGCUAACUACGUGCCAGCAGCCGCCGUAAUAC